rnacentral:lncRNA from 1 species
CUGGACUCAAUGACCUCUAAAGGUCCCUUCUAACUCAAACAAUUCUAUGAUAUUUUAUGUAGAAAAUCACUUAUCUCCACAGCUAUGAGUUACUGAGAGCUUCUUGCCUCUCAGUAACUAGCAUCGAUGUCACCAUCUGCUCCCUGGCCUUACCAUUGCACAAUAGUGUUGCUGUUCUCAGCCCUGCAGAAAGUCAAUUGCUUGAAAUACAAUUUUUAAAAGCUAUUACUUUUCAAAUGAUGUCAAAAAAGAAGCGAGUAGGAGUCAAAGGUCUUAGCAGGAAUGGUGUGAGGCAAUCAGAAAACACAGAUAACACACUAGAGUGCUGCAGGAGAAAGAAAAGCCAGAAGUAGCCCCAGCCAAUUCAGGGAAUUGCUCUCUCCCCUGCAGGCUGAAUAUAUUUACACUUUUCCAUGCUUGUGUUGAGCCAAGCUAAGGCAGCUGAGAUACCUGUUGUGAUUAUUCACACUCUUUAGCAAUCAGCUAAACCAGGUUUUGUGGAAGGUUUAUUUCAGCUGCUCUGUGAAUACAAUACCUGAACAAAACCUGCACAAAAACCAGGCAGCAGCCUCUGGCCCUUCCUGCACUGCUCUUCUCAUCUGUAUUCACAAUCUGAAAUUAAUCCACCAUCCUGUGAGUACAGGUGCUUUCACCUAUGCAAUCAAAGAAAUAAGACAUCUGCUCAGCAGGGAGAUAUUGCCAAGAGCACCUGCUCCUGCUAUAAAUAGUGCUGCAAUAGUCCAUGGAAAGUGGGAGACUUUCAGCGGGUUCAGCUGGAAGAGCCUAAUUAACAAAUAUCUCAUAGGCUGCGGAAGCAAAAGGGAUUGUGUCAGACUGGCUCAGGAAGAUAUGGGAAUUGAACUGGGCUAAGAAAACGUUCUCUGUGUUGAGCUGUUGACUGGAAGAAAGGCAGAGCAGCUCCUGCUGACUUUGAAAUGGAGCUGGUGUGAAGCCUUUGGUCCGAAUUAAGCCUGUAAAAUUAGAAAAUAUGUAAAACCUUCUUGUUGUUGUUGUUCCUAGUGAAAAAGAAAUAAUUAUUUCAGUUCGAAGCAAAGAAAAUAAUAUUCAUACACCAUUUAAAGCAGUGGUCCCUGGAUAAUUGUUAGUCUGUUGGCUUGUAUGUCCAGAAAAGGUGAGAAGAGUUAAUAGAUUAGUGGAAUUACUUUUUCUCAAGAUACACUAUAUGACUUAGCUCUAAUGGUGGAUAUUCAUCUUAGUGACAGGACCAUGUUUAUUAGCAAUACAGGCAACCAUCUGCCCUGAGUUGCAUGGGUAGGUCUGGGGGUGUUGUACUUGGAAAAGAAAUGGUGUUCGCUGUAUUCCAACCCUGAAUCACCACGGCUGUAUGAGAUCUUGUUUUAUUUCUGCCAGAAAUAGGACAGGUUGAUCAAUGAAUUAUGUAGAUUGAAAGCUUUGAAUUUUCAGUUCAUACACACAGUUCCAG